rnacentral:rRNA from 1 species
UACGUAGGGCGCAAGCGUUAUCCGGAAUUAUUGGGCGUAAAGAGCUCGUAGGCGGUUUGUCGCGUCUGCCGUGAAAGUCCGGGCUCAACUCCGGAUCUGCGGUGGGUACGGGCAGACUAGAGUGAUGUAGGGGAGACUGGAAUUCCUGGUGUAGCGGUGAAAUGCGCAGAUAUCAGGAGGAACACCGGUGGCGAAGGCGGGUCUCUGGGCCGAUACUGACGCUGAGGAGCGAAAGCGUGGGGAGCAAACAGG